rnacentral:rRNA from 1 species
UACAGAGGUCUCAAGCGUUGUUCGGAUUCAUUGGGCGUAAAGGGUGCGUAGGUGGCGGGGUAAGUCAGGUGUGAAAUCUCGGAGCUCAACUCCGAAACUGCACUUGAUACUGCCUUGCUCGAGUACUGGAGAGGAGAUUGGAAUUUACGGUGUAGCAGUGAAAUGCGUAGAUAUCAGGAGGAACACCAAUGGCGAAGGCAGAUCUCUGGGCCGUAACUGACGCUGAGGAGCGAAAGCAUGGGGAGCGAACAGG